rnacentral:rRNA from 1 species
UACGUAGGCGGGAAAUUAAGUCAGUAGUGAAAUCCCACAGCUUAACUGUGGAACUGUUAUUGAUACUGGUUUUCUUGAAUAUAGUUGAGGUAGGCGGAAUGUGAAAUGUAGCGGUGAAAUGCUUAGAUAUUACACAGAACACCGAUUGCGAAGGCAGCUUACUAAGCUAUGAUUGACGCUGAGGUACGAAAGCGUGGGGAGCGAACAGGAUUAGAUACCCUGGGUAGUCC